GAUUAACACCUCAGGAGGGAGGAGGUACGGGUCAGUUUCUAAGCUAGCCGUUUCCAAUUUGUGUAAACACCGCCGUCUGUGAGCCCCAACCAGGUGUGUUACGUUCACAGACUCAAACAACUUAGCCUGACUUGAACUAGGA